UACGAAGGGGGCUAGCGUUGUUCGGAAUUACUGGGCGUACAGCGCGCUCCGGCGGUCUUCCAAGUCAGUGGUGAAAGCCUGGAGCUCAACUCCAGAACUGCCAUUGAAACUGUUAGACUUGAGUACGAGAGAGGUGAGUGGAAUUCCCAGUGUAGAGGUGAAAUUCGUAGAUAUUGGGAAGAACACCGGUGGCGAAGGCGGCUCACUGGCUCGUAACUGACGCUCAGGCGCGACAGCGUGGGGAUCAAACAGG
rnacentral:rRNA from 1 species